rnacentral:tRNA from 1 species
GCCUGAGUGGCUCAGUGGGUUAAGCCUCUGACUUCAGCUCAGGACAUGAUCUCAGGGUCCUGGGAUCGAGCCCCACAUCAGGCU